rnacentral:rRNA from 1 species
UACGGGGGGGGCAAGCGGUUGUUCGGAAUUACUGGGCGUAAAGGGCUCGUAGGCGGCCAACUAAGUCAGACGUGAAAUCCCUCGGCUUAACCGGGGAACUGCGUCUGAUACUGGAUGGCUUGAGAUUGGGAGAGGGAUGCGGAAUUCCAAGUUGUAGCGGUGAAAUGCGUAGAUAUCUGGAGGAACACCGGUGGCGAAGGCGGCAUCCUGGACCAACACUGACGCUGAGGCGCGAAAGCUAGGGUAGCGAACGGG